AGCUUUGCAUAGUGGCAGAAUCGUAGCCAAUGAGGUUUAUCCGGAGCGCGAUUAUUGCUAAUUAAAAAUAGUUUUCAGGGCUUCAAAUGAUGUCCUCAUGGCCCAAACCAAUGACCUUUUUUGAUUUUCUCACUCAAA
ensembl:snRNA U4 U4 spliceosomal RNA